GACGAACGCUGGCGGCGUGGAUUAGGCAUGCAAGUCGAACGGUAUCAUCCUUUCGGGGGUGAGAGAGUGGCGAACUGGUGAGUAACACGUAGGUUAUCUACCCUCAAGACGGGGACAACCCAGGGAAACUUGGGCUAAUACCGGAUGUGAGCAACUUUUAGUUGUUUGAAAGGUGGCGUAAGCUGUCGCUUGGGGAUGAGCCUGCGUCCUAUUAGUUAGUUGGUGAGGUAACGGCUCACCUAGGCAAUGAUAGGUAGGCGGCCUUAACGGGUGGUCGCCCACACUGGGAUUGAGAUACGGCCCAGACUCCUACGGGAGGCAGCAGUCGAGAAUAGUCUACAAUGGUCGGAAGACUGAUAGUGCGACGCCGCGUGAACGAUGAAUCCCUUCGGGGUGUAAAGUUCUUUUAUAUGUGAGCAGUGCUUCUUAUAUUAACAGUAUGGGGAGAGAGAUAUUAGCAUAUGAAUAAGCAACGGCUAACUCCGUGCCAGCAGCCGCGGUAAAACUCG
rnacentral:rRNA from 1 species